rnacentral:rRNA from 1 species
GACGAACGCUGGCGGCGUGCUUAACACAUGCAAGUCGAACGGAAAGGCCCUGCUUUUGUGGGGUGCUCGAGUGGCGAACGGGUGAGUAACACGUGAGUAACCUGCCCUUGACUUUGGGAUAACUUCAGGAAACUGGGGCUAAUACCGGAUAGGAGCUCCUGCUGCAUGGUGGGCGUUGGAAAGUUUCGGCGGUUGGGGAUGGACUCGCGGCUUAUCAGCUUGUUGGUGGGGUAGUGGCUUACCAAGGCUUUGACGGGUAGCCGGCCUGAGAGGGUGACCGGCCACAUUGGGACUGAGAUACGGCCCAGACUCCUACGGGAGGCAGCAGUGGGGAAUAUUGCACAAUGGGCGGAAGCCUGAUGCAGCAACGCCGCGUGCGGGAUGACGGCCUUCGGGUUGUAAACCGCUUUCGCCUGUGACGAAGCGUGAGUGACGGUAAUGGGUAAAGAAGCACCGGCUAACUACGUA